AAUAUUAUACCCAAACAAGUUGUCAACAUCCGUUUUCAAACUGUUCAAAGUGAAACUCAAAUUAAAGUGUUAUUCACAAUCUCCGUGGAAAAUAUUGACGCCAUCACUUCAUGCUCAGAUAAUGGAACAUUGUAAACCUUUAACAGCAAAUACGGAACAAAAUGAAUCAAAUUUGAAUGCAAGGACGAUACUAUACAUGCAAUUUGCUGAACGUCUCAGGGCAGGUUCAAAUCAAAAGUCCAUGUACCAAAUCAUUAGCAUGAUGGAGAAAGAUGUUCACUAUGGAUCAAAAAUUCAAAACAGAGGACUUUUAUAUACAAACAAAAAUACUUGUACAACAGUAAUCAAAUGGAAUGUCUAUGUGAUUGCAACCACACAUUUUAAUGGAGAGUGAUGUUGAAAGCAAAAUUAUUUUUGUUAAUAGAAAACAAUAGGACUACAAUAUAUUACUAAUUAGGGUACACAACACAUCAGAAGAAGAAUUUUACUGGAGGAUACAAAUUUUAAUACCUGGAAUCAGCAAUUUCAUAUGAAAUUUGUAAAGAGAGAUAUAUUCACGUAAAGAGUGGAAAACCCCACCAGAUAACCCAGUUGAACUUGGUUCAAGUGAUUAUUAGCAGACAUUUUUGUUGAACUAAUGCAAAAUUUAAUAAAUGAAACUUUAGCCAACUAUGAGCCCCAAAGUGUUGUAAAUAGAAGAAUUUUAAAUAUGUGAGACUCAUCAACAUUAAAAUGUGCAUAAGUGAAAUGUAACAAUAUUUUGUAAAAAAAAUCAGAUUAUUGUUGUCAUGAAAUAUUUUAUCAAAGCAAUAUCACUUUUAUAUAAUCAACAUGAUUAAAAAGAUUCCAUAUGUUUUAUUGUAUACUUUUAACAACCGAAUAUAUCUUCCCUCUGGC